AGAGUUUGAUCAUGGCUCAGGAUGAACGCUGGCGGCGUGCCUAACACAUGCAAGUCGAGCGGCAGCGAGGGGUGCUUGCACCCUGUCGGCGAGCGGCGGACGGCUGAGUAACGCGUGGGAACGUGCCCCAAAGUGAGGAAUAACUGCCCGAAAGGGUAGCUAAUACCGCAUAUUAUCUUCGGAUCAAAGGAUUUAUCCGCUUUGGGAGCGGCCCGCGUCGGAUUAGGUAGUUGGUGAGGUAAUGGCUCACCAAGCCGACGAUCCGUAGCUGGUCUGAGAGGAUGACCAGCCAGACUGGAACUGAGACACGGUCCAGACUCCUACGGGAGGCAGCAGUGAGGAAUCUUCCACAAUGGCGAAAGCCUGAUGGAGCAACGCCGCGUGCAGGACGAAGGCCUUCGGGUUGUAAACUGCUUUUAUAAGUGAGGAAUAUGACGGUAACUUAUGAAUAAGGAUCGGCUAACUACGUGCCAGCAGCCGCGGUCAUACGUAGGAUUCGAGCGUUAUCCGGAGUGACUGGGCGUAAAGAGUUGCGUAGGCGGUUGUAUAAGUGAAUAGUGAAAUCUGGUGGCUCAACCAUACAGGCUAUUAUUCAAACUGUACAACUCGAGAGUGAUAGAGGUCACUGGAAUUUCUUGUGUAGGAGUGAAAUCCGUAGAUAUAAAGAAGGAACACCGAUGGCGUAGGCAGGUGACUGGACCAUUUCUGACGCUAAGGCACGAAAGCGUGGGGAGCGAACCGGAUUAGAUACCCGGGUAGUCCACGCCGUAAACGAUGGAUACUGGCUGUUGGAGGUAUCGACCCCUUCAGUAGCGAAGCUAACGCGUUAAGUAUCCCGCCUGUGGAGUACGGCCGCAAGGCUAAAACAUAAAGGAAUUGACGGGGACCCGCACAAGCGGUGGAUCGUGUUCUUUAAUUCGAUGCUAAACGAAGAACCUUACCAGGGCUUGACAUCCAGGGAAUUUUUGGGAAACCAAUUAGUGCCGUUUGGAACCCUGUGACAGGUGAUGCAUGGCCGUCGUCAGCUCGUGUCGUGAGAUGUUUGGUUAAGUCCAUCAACGAGCGCAACCCUUGUGUCUAGUUGUAUUUUUCUAGACAGACUGCUUCGGUAACGGAGAGGAAGGAGGGGAUGAUGUCAGGUCAGUAUUUCCCUUACGUCCUGGGCUAGAAACACGAUACAAUGGCUAGUACAAUGCGCAGCGAAGCCGCGAGGUGAAGCAAAUCGCACCAAAGUUAGUCCCAGUUCGGAUUGGAGGCUGAAACUCGCCUCCAUGAAGUCGGAAUCGCUAGUAAUCGCAAAUCAGCAAGUUGCGGUGAAUACGUUCCCGGGUCUUGUACACACCGCCCGUCA
rnacentral:rRNA from 1 species